rnacentral:rRNA from 1 species
AUGCAAGUCGAGGGGCAGCAUGUUGGUUGCUUGCAACCAACGAUGGCGACCGGCGCACGGGUGAGUAACGCGUAUCCAACCUGCCCUUGUCCAUCGGAUAACCCGUCGAAAGGCGGCCUAACACGAUAUGCGGUUCUCAGCAGGCAUCUAACGAGAACGAAAUGUGAAGGAGAAGGAUGGGGAUGCGUCUGAUUAGCUUGUUGGCGGGGUAACGGCCCACCAAGGCGACGAUCAGUAGGGGUUCUGAGAGGAAGGUCCCCCACAUUGGAACUGAGACACGGUCCAAACUCCUACGGGAGGCAGCAGUGAGGAAUAUUGGUCAAUGGACGAGAGUCUGAACCAGCCAAGUAGCGUGCAGGAUGACGGCCCUAUGGGUUGUAAACUGCUUUUAUAGGGGGAUAAAGUGUGCCACGUGUGGCAUAUUGCAGGUACCCUAUGAAUAAGGACCGGCUAAUUCCGUGCCAGCAGCCGCGGUAAUACGGAAGGUCCAGGCGUUAUCCGGAUUUAUUGGGUUUAAAGGGAGCGUAGGCCGUUUGGUAAGCGUGUUGUGAAAUGUCGGGGCUCAACCUGGGCAUUGCAGCGCGAACUGUCAGACUUGAGUGCGCAGGAAGUAGGCGGAAUUCGUCGUGUAGCGGUGAAAUGCUUAGAUAUGACGAAGAACUCCGAUUGCGAAGGCAGCCUGCUGUAGCGCAACUGACGCUGAAGCUCGAAAGCGUGGGUAUCGAACAGGAUUAGAUACCCUGGUAGUCCACGCGGUAAACGAUGGAUGCUCGCUGUUUGCGUCUGACGUAAGCGGCCAAGCGAAAGCGUUAAGCAUCCCACCUGGGGAGUACGCCGGCA